rnacentral:rRNA from 1 species
AUGCACGCUGGCGGCGUGCCUAAUACCUGCCAGUCGAGCGAACAGACGAGGAGCUUGCUCCUCUGACGUUAGCGGCGGACGGGUGAGUAACACGUGGAUAACCUACCUAUAAGACUGGGAUAACUUCGGGAAACCGGAGCUAAUACCGGAUAAUAUAUUGAACCGCAUGGUUCAAUAGUGAAAGACGGUUUUGCUGUCACUUAUAGAUGGAUUCGCGCCGCAUUAGCUAGUUGGUAAGGUAACGGCUUACCAAGGCAACGAUGCGUAGCCGACCUGAGAGGGUGAUCGGCCACACUGGAACUGAGACACGGUCCAGACUCCUACGGGAGGCAGCAGUAGGGAAUCUUCCGCAAUGGGCGAAAGCCUGACGGAGCAACGCCGCGUGAGUGAUGAAGGUCUUCGGAUCGUAAAACUCUGUUAUUAGGGAAGAACAAAUGUGUAAGUAACUAUGCACGUCUUGACGGUACCUAAUCAGAAAGCCACGGCUAACUACGUG